AAGGUGAUUAAUUUUUUUUUAUAAAAAUACAUAUAAAUUGUAAGUGAAAUCACUAACUUUUGGCUUUGCCAUUCUAUCUCUUCCCAAAUCUACAAAUCAAACGCCACACAACGAAACAAAUCUUUGCACAAUCUAUACAUGCAUAUACGUACUACUCUAAUACACAUGUUCAGACAUUGCAAACACAAAGAACCAACAAGCAGAAACAAGAACAUGUACACCCCAUCCAGCUCGGCGAAAACGACUUCGUCCUCGAACACACGCACACACACACAUAUAUAUAUACAUACAUAUAAAUUAUAGAUUGUUGUUAUGCUUUAGCAUCUCCAAUCUUUUAACCUUUUUUUAAGUGGUAAAAAAUCAUCUCCGAUUUGUUCAUCCAAUAUUUAUCAAAUCAAGUGGGAAAUAUUUUUUUGAGAAUUCAUCAAAUCCUUUGUCAAAUUUGAAUUUGAUGAAAAUUUAAAGAGAUUGAUCAUUAUAUAUAUAUAUAUAUAUAUAUAUAUAUUUUUUUUUGUUUUCCCUUUCAAAUUUGACGAGAAAGGGAAAUUUGGGAUAGGAUGGGAAUCUUUUUUAAAGAUUUUGAUGAAAAUUUGGAAUAGUUUAUAUCAAUUCAAGGUUUUUACUCAAAUUUGAAUUCUAAUAAAAAAAUAGUAGAGGGUUGGAGAUGCUCUAAUGUUUAGUGGGUUUGUGAUUGGAGGAGCUUGAUCUGUUGAACGAAGAUGCGAAUGUGUACGAAUUGAUAGGACUGGUACUUGUCAACCAGGACUUGGUGGAGGCAGAUCCGAAUGUCUGCUAGUGGAUUUAUUACAUCUCUCCUGAAUUGAAGCAUUUGGAUGCAAUGCUACUGGACUUGGAAGAAAAACAAAAUAGCAAGAAAGAUGUGGGUACACACUUGGAAAAUGAAAAAAGGGAAGAAAGCCUACGUGGGACCCACCAAUGGACCAAUGGCUCAUGCCAUAGGCAUCACCUGACUGAGACUGCUUUUGGAUGGGCUUGGUCAAACACAUACGAUUCUAUCUACCCUUGUGCUAGAAAAAUCAGAUUAUUAAUUACUAGGAGUGUUGUGGUGUUUUUCAUAUUAGAGGGAUAUUUCUGUGAUUGUAUAUUUGUUUGGUGUCUAGGUUCGGGGAGCUUCUAAAUGCUCCACAUAAUAUCUUUGGACAGACACAUUCUAGUAGUGGUAGAUUCAUUAGUAAGGUCAGCCAUUUAUAUUCUAGAAACUGAAUAACAACUUGUACUAAUCACAAUAAUUGGAAGAGGUACUAAAAUCAACGAGACCAAGCAAUUUCAAUCA